rnacentral:rRNA from 1 species
UACGAAGGGGGCUAGCGUUGCUCGGAAUCACUGGGCGUAAAGGGUGCGUAGGCGGGUCUUUAAGUCGGGGGUGAAAUCCUGGAGCUCAACUCCAGAACUGCCUUUGAUACUGAGGAUCUUGAGUUCGGGAGAGGUGAGUGGAACUGCGAGUGUAGAGGUGAAAUUCGUAGAUAUUCGCAGGAACACCAGUGGCGAAGGCGGCUCACUGGCCCGAUACUGACGCUGAGGCACGAAAGCGUGGGGAGCAAACAGG